UUUGUUGUCGCUUUUCUUAUCUCUUAUUACUAUUAAUGAGCGAAUUUAAGAACAUAGAAUUAUAUAGUUAAAAAUGAAGUCAAAUAUUUCAGGCGAUAGAAGGUGUGUUCCAAAAUUUACUGUGAGUACUGUGAGUGCUGCCAACUCAUUACUGUCUUACUAUUUAUUUAGGGUGUGUUCUGAAAUGUACUGACAGUACUGUAAAAGUAAUUACAUCUCUCUUAAAUGCGUAUGGAUGAAUAAGGACACAGCGUUGGUUACAGAACUGGCAUUACUGUCCACUGAACUCUAACCAUACUGGAAUCUGUACGACAGUGGUGGGGGCCGCGCAGAGAGAAUAGCAAGGACACAGUUCGACUAGCUGAUAGGCUGCAGCGAUGGAAGUGAGAACGACCAAACGUCCAAGAAGAGAGAAAGGAAGUGAACAAAAUCCCGAUGAGAAAAACCGCUAGUACACUUGAGAAAAUUGAAAAUUUUGAGGAAGGCGACACGGACAUGUACGAGCUGCCAACGUGUCGAGAUUACUUCAGUCUUAUUCUACACAGUGAAGGUGACAUCUGCCACAAAACGAUCACUAAUAAUCAAGGACAAUGGAAUUAUCCCUCUGAAUGACGUAUGACCAAAUGAUGAAACUGAUGGCACAGGGUCGACAUUGAUUCUUAUCUUCUGCAAUUCUUUAAAUGUCAAAACUUAUAGACAUGCCAGGGUAUCUGCUAAAGUGCACGUAUUAGGGAACCCUGGCUGAUUGAUUGCGUACUGCAAGCCAAAAACGAAGCAAAUAUUUUACUAGAAAUUCAGUAUUUGCAUGAAGGAGCUAAAGAAUGGAGAGCAAUGGAAAAAAGUAAUCACGGUUGAUCCGACACUCAAAUGGGAGAAAUUACAAUUUAAUUAUUAUCAACGUCUGUACGUUCUCUAAACACAAUGUGUAUUAUACAAAAGUGUUUAUUUUCGCACUAAAUGCAUUAAGGUAGAACCUGGUGGUCAGGGUAGUAUCAUGAUGACAUGACUGACAUAUUUUCAAGUAAUACAACCCAGAAAGUUAUCCAAAAGUGAACUAAAUGAGUACCAAAUUUUCUCCUGGAAGUUACCUAUAAUCUAAUAACUGUUCUAAAAGACAACUUCAACACAUAAUAAUAAAUAGGUAUCUUCCAGACGGAUAUUUGGAACCCAUUAAGGCAUCAAAAAGAUAUCGACAUAAUUUUACUACCAAUCUAUCGGGCAACAAUAAUUUCACAAUAUCCUAUCACACUUCGGAGAUCAUCACAUAAGCGCGUAAAAGCGUUUCAAUUGUAAUAUCUUAUUAUUGUGUUUCGCGUGAUGAAAAUAUAUGAUUAUUUUUUUAUUGUCGACAAUAUACAUAUAACAACAUAAAAUAGCUUAUUUGUAAGCAAAAAAAAUUCUCUUUUCAUAAUUCCCGCUAAAAGGCGUAUAUAAUAAAGUUAUCUCGGUCUCUCUCACUUCUCUGUCUGUCUUUCUCUAGGUCGGUUGACUACAGCGCCACCAUGAUAUGCAACUGACCUUACUGCACACCGUUUUGGGACCACAUCCAAAGUACUGCGUUCGACCUCCUUUACUCUAGUCUCCAUGGCACUACCGUUCGAUUCAACCACAGACUUCUAUAUACCACUAGACCGCUAGUUUGCUAGCUGGCUGUGAGGCAAAGUGGAGGGGAGAUAGGACGCCAUCUUUUUGUAUGGCAUUCCGUAUUCCAGGCGGGGAAAGUAAAUAGGGGACGCCGAUCACUUCUUCCUUGAUUUCUAUGUUUCCACGUUUUCCGAGCAGACGUAUUUGUGUACAUAAAAUCGGAAUGAUAGGUAAAAUAAUUUGAUAAAUAUGAAGAAACGAAUCAGAUAAGCCAAUGUCAAACAAGUGGAGGCACAGAUCUCAAAUAUUUCGAAGACUAUAUCACUUAUAGUGUGCCAAAUAGCUAAGUGGAUAAGAUGUUGACUUAGUAAACGUAAGGUUCGGGGUUCAAAUGGCGAUAUUUUUUAUCCAAUUUACGCUACAAUUUUUAAAAUAGCAGUAUAAGUUCUCUCUUUCCUUUUUAAAUAUUAAAAGAGGAGAGUUUUGCUGGAUAUAAUCACUAACUACACGCACCAAUGCCAAUGUGAUGCAUUUGCCCCACUGAAUAGUGUCAGGUGUCACACGAAUACAUUAACCCACUCACAAAUUUGUCCUAUAAAAGAUGGCAGCCAGUCCCCACCACUUCAAAAAAUUUUCCUCACUUCUCUCAACGGCAGGAUACUGGAAGCUAGCGGUCUAGUAGUAUACAUAUAGAAGUUUGUGGGUUCAACUCUGUUUCAACCUUGUUUCAACUCAACUCUUACUACGGUGGAAACUAAGCCAUUGUAAUAAAGAGUUUUAGAACUAAUAAUGCAGGUGCAAUUGGAGAAUAUUAUAACAAAUUUUAUAUAGUUCUGAUUAUAAUAUGAAUAAUUAUUAACUUAAGCUAAUAAUUCUAACUUAAGCUACUUUAACUGAAUCUAUGUAAUUUAUUUUACGGUGUAUUGUGUAGUGUACUCUUCAGGAGCAGAAGUUUGAUUGCCGUCAUGAAUCCUGAAGCUUACACUUCUCUGUGUCUCACAUAUAUACGUACACAUUACAUAUACGCACGCACACAUCAUUUGUAGGUCCAUCUCUUUCGUGGAAGGACGCAGAGACGCGCCUCGCUUAGUCCCACAGCUUACGCAUUGUUGUGAUUCACAAAGAACUCAUACCCACCCCUGUUCCUAGCUUAUUUGGAAAGCGCAUGGAUAACUUCAACGUUCUACUCGAACUUUCCCUCGUCGCGCGACUUUCUCAAGUGAUUCAAUAUAUUGCCAGGAAUGGAAAUUGCCAUAUGCGUAUGUGUAUUGCCAUAAUGCGAACUGACUGUGUCCGCAAUGUGAAGUGAAAUAAGUUGUAAUUUGUAAACUAUAUUCGACCGCAGUAGACUUAUUACUGUUUACAAAUUACAAUUUAUUUCGCUUUAUAUUGCGGAGACAGUUAGUUCGAUUUAUGUUGUUUCGACUACAAGAUUGCAUUACGAGUGAUUAUUCUGUGAGAGAAUAUUGCGACAUGUAUUGGGUGUUAGCCCAAUGUAAUGGCAACCAAACACAAAUAGCGCAAGAAUAUGCAAUUAGGUACCCUAAUC